ACCUGGUUGAUCCUGCCAGUAGUCAUAUGCUUGUCUUAAAGAUUAAGCCAUGCAUGUCUAAGUAUAAGUAUCAUACAGCGAAACUGCGAAUGGCUCAUUAAAACAGUUAUAGUUUAUUUGAUAGUUCGAAAUGGAUAACUGUAGCAAUUCUAGAGCUAAUACAUGCAUAAACACCGGACCUCACGGAAAGGUGGUAUUUAUUAGAUAUAAACCUUCACCUUCAUGGUGACUGAUGAUUCAUAAUAACUUCACUGAUCGCUGUUCUCAGCGAUAAAUCAUUCAAGUUUCUGCCCUAUCAGCUUUAGAUGGUAGUGUAUUGGACUACCAUGGCGAUCACGGGUAACGGAGAAUUAGGGUUCGAUUCCGGAGAGGGAGCCUGAGAAACGGCUACCACUUCUAAGGAAGGCAGCAGGCGCGUAAAUUACCCAAUCCUGACUUAGGGAGGUAGUGACAAGAAAUAACGACUCGGGACUUACAAAGUUUACGAGAUUGUAAUGAAAACAAUUUAAAAC
rnacentral:rRNA from 1 species